GACGAACGCUGGCGGCGUGCUUAGCACAUGCAAGUCGAACGGAAAGGCCCUGCUUUUGUGGGGUGCUCGAGUGGCGAACGGGUGAGUAACACGUGAGUAACCUGCCCUUGACUUUGGGAUAACUUCAGGAAACUGGGGCUAAUACCGGAUAGGAGCUCCUGCUGCAUGGUGGGGGUUGGAAAGUUUCGGCGGUUGGGGAUGGACUCGCGGCUUAUCAGCUUGUUGGUGGGGUAGUGGCUUACCAAGGCUUUGACGGGUGGCCGGCCUGAGAGGGUGACCGGCCACAUUGGGACUGAGAUACGGCCCAGACUCCUACGGGAGGCAGCAGUGGGGAAUAUUGCACAAUGGGCGGAAGCCUGAUGCAGCAACGCCGCGUGCGGGAUGACGGCCUUCGGGUUGUAAACCGCCUUCGCCUGUGACGAAGCGUGAGUGACGGUAAUGGGUAAAGAAGCACCGGCUAACUACGUG
rnacentral:rRNA from 1 species